rnacentral:lncRNA from 1 species
CCGUCUAGUUGGAAAUAUGGAGGAUUUGUUAGUUUAGAGGUGAUUUUCACACACGCACGUGGCAAACGGGCAAUGAUAUCAUUAUCUUUUUUAAUACAUGCAAGCUUCAGGAGUACAUGUAUACACUCACCUCUACAAAAGCACACACCUUUACUCUGUUUCUGUGAGCAUUUUCGAGAGAAUGAAUCGACAUAGCAUCUUACGAUUUACGAAGUAAUUGUAGACGUAUCG